ACGGGUGAGUAACACGUGAGUAACCUGCCCUUGACUCUGGGAUAAGCCUGGGAAACUGGGUCUAAUACCGGAUACGACCAUCUGGCGCAUGUCAUGGUGGUGGAAAGCUUUUGUGGUUUUGGAUGGACUCGCGGCCUAUCAGCUUGUUGGUGGGGUAAUGGCCUACCAAGGCGACGACGGGUAGCCGGCCUGAGAGGGUGACCGGCCACACUGGGACUGAGACACGGCCCAGACUCCUACGGGAGGCAGCAGUGGGGAAUAUUGCACAAUGGGCGCACGCCUGAUGCAGCGACGCCGCGUGAGGGAUGACGGCCUUCGGGUUGUAAACCUCUUUCAGUAGGGAAGAAGCCGUAAGGUGACGGUACCUGCAGGAGAAGCGCCGGCUAACUACGUGCCAGCAGCCGCGGUAAUACGUAGGGCGCAAGCGUUAUCCGGAAUUAUUGGGCGUAAAGAGCUCGUAGGCGGUUUGUCGCGUCUGCUGUGAAAGACCGGGGCUCAACUCCGGUUCUGCAGUGGGUACGGGCAGACUAGAGUGCAGUAGGGGAGACUGGAAUUCCUGGUGUAGCGGUGAAAUGCGCAGA
rnacentral:rRNA from 1 species